rnacentral:lncRNA from 1 species
CUGAGGCGGGAGAAUCGCUUGAACCUGGGAGGCCGAGCUUGCAGUGAGCCGAGAUCGCACCACUGCACUCCAGCCUGGGUGGCAGAACGAGACUCCAUCUCAAAAAAAAAAAAAAAAAUUAUUAGUAGAGAUGAGGUCUUACUAUGUUAACCAGGCUGGUCUCAAACUCUUGGAUUCAAGUGAUCCUCCUGCCUCAAUCUCCCAAAGUGCUGUGAUUAUAAGUGUGAGCCACUGUGCCUGGCCUGUAACCUUUGUUUUGACAAAUGGAUAGUAUUAAAGGAAAUUUUCUUGAUACGCAGUUUAGUCUGUUCUUGGACAAGCAAUGCAGUAGGUUUGACUUUGAGUGCUUUAUUACUAACACUUUCUGGCCAGGCCACAGUUAAGGUCCGGUUGGAAAACACUUGUUGAGGUUUGAAUUGUAACCUUUUUACUGGAUGAUAGGGUAUUUUUUAGCCCAUAGAUAAACUUGCUUAAAAAACCAAGAAAGACACUGAAAUCUCAGUCUAUACAUAGUUUCAUCAGUGUUUAUUGGGAACUGUGUUCUGGAUAAAGCAAUCGUAUGUAUACAUUUUUAUUAUGUAAUGUAUAAGUGAUUUGUAAAUUAUAAAGAUCUCCUACGAUACUGUGGUGUCUUCUAGAUAGAAAAUAUAUCUUUCUAAAAUGUGUGCCUAAUUCUAGUGUAGUGUCAAUUUAUAGUACACAAUAAAUAUUUAAUGAAUAAACAUUA